ensembl:snRNA U2 U2 spliceosomal RNA
ACAACUUUUCGGCGUUUUAGCUAAUAUCAAAUGUAGUAUUUGUUUUUAUUAGCUUAAUAUCUGGUGUGUUCUGUAUUUGAGAACGCUAUAGUAAACGCAUUUUUGGAAUUGGGAGAUGGAGUGAGAGCUUGCCCUAUCCAAUCUGUGCAUCGAUCCGGUAUUGCAGUACUUCCAGAAACGGUGCACCUACU